rnacentral:rRNA from 1 species
GACGAACGCUGGCGGCGUGCCUAAUACAUGCAAGUCGAACGGAAAGACCCUGCUUUUGUUCCGUGCUCGAUUGGCGAACGGGUGAGUAACACGUGAGUAUCCUCCACUUGUAUGAGGGAUAACACCAGGAAACUGGGGCUAAUACAGGGUAUGAUCUCCUGCAGCACAGUGUUGGUUGGAAAGAUUCGGCGGUGCGGGAUCGAUGCGAGGCUUAUCCGCUUGUUGGUGUGGUAGGUGCUUACCAAGCCUAUGACGGAUAGCCGGCCUGAGAGGGUGACCGGCCACAUUGGGACUGAGAGAGGGCGCAGACGGCUACGGGAGGCAGCAGGGGGGAACAUUGCGCAACGGGGGGAAGCGUGAGGCAGAAACGCCGCGUGCGGAAUGACGGCCUUCUAGUUGUAAACCGAUUUGGAAGGUGACGAAGAGUGAGUGACGGUAAUGGGUAAGGAAGCACCGGCUAACUACGUG